AACUGAAGAGUUUGAUCAUGGCUCAGAUUGAACGCUGGCGGCAGGCCUAACACAUGCAAGUCGAACGCGAAAAUUCCUUCGGGAAUGAGUAGAGUGGCGGACGGGUGAGUAACGCGUGGGAAUCUACCUGGUAGCGGGGGAUAACUCGGGGAAACUCGAGCUAAUACCGCAUACGCCCUACGGGGGAAAGGAGGGGAUCUUCGGACCUUUCACUAUCAGAUGAGCCCGCGUUAGAUUAGCUUGUUGGUGAGGUAAUGGCUCACCAAGGCGACGAUCUAUAGCUGGUCUGAGAGGAUGAUCAGCCACACUGGGA
rnacentral:rRNA from 1 species